GUGCCAGCCGCCGCGGUAAUACGGAGGGGGCAAGCGUUGUUCGGAAUUAUUGGGCGUAAAGAGUAUGUAGGCGGCUAUUUAAGUCAGACGUGUAAGCCCACGGCUCAACCGUGGAAUUGCGUUUGAAACUAUUUAGCUUGAGUUCAGGAGAGGAAGGCGGAAUUCCCAGUGUAGCGGUGAAAUGCAUUGAUAUUGGGAAGAACACCGGUGGCGAAGGCGGCCUUCUGGUCUGAUACUGACGCUGAGAUACGAAAGCCAGGGGAGCGAACGGGAUUAGAUACCCCCGUAGUCCG
rnacentral:rRNA from 1 species